AUGAGCUGGUACUCGUGGGUGUCGUGUGCGUGGCUGUGACAUGAGGCAGAAUGACACAAACGCCACAGUAGAGACACGAGAGUCUCUCGCAGGAGAAUGGGGGCUGACCUGAGUGACUGGAUUUGAACAGAUGAGGAGAGACUUUCCACAGAAGGUGGAAUUUGAAAUCAAUAAACCACAUGGGAAAAGGGGAGUCACAGCUUGCGAAAGAAUUGCAGUUAACUUAAGUCUAUUUAUUCUAAGUCAGAGCCUGUGAAAAAGCAGAAAACAUGGUGGGUAGGCAGGUAUCCAGAUGUAUCUGUGAUGGACAUCGUGUGACUUGCACAGGCAGAACGCACAAGAACUGUACUGGGCCAUGAGGAUCUUGAUGGAAUGGUCCACGACACAUUCACAUUUGAAUUUCUAUUGAGGCAGGAAGACAAGAUUACAGCCACUUUGCAAAAGGACCAGGAAACAGCCUUGGGCAAAACAGGUUUUGUAAGCUAAAGAUCAAAGGCCUGAGUCCCGGGGGAGGUGGGGAACAGGCUUGCAGGAAUAAAAGGUUAACUCCAUCUCUGUUACACUAAUAAGUACACCUAGUUGCCGCAAGACAAGAAGCUUAACUGUAAGUUUUAACCUUAUCUGUUCCUGAGCUUUCUUGCAGAAAAUUCUCAUGCAUUCCUUUCCCCUCACAGACCCACUCCUGUUCCUGACGGUCACCAUGGAGCCACCUGCUGCUGAUCAAAGGAGUCUGACGAUUUCUGGAAAUUAGCUGUAAUCAUGAGACUGUUACAGAAACGACAGGCCAGCCAAGAAACAAGCACCACUUGGAGGGUUGGAGUACUCAGAUGUAUUACGCUGGCGGGCUCAGAGGGGCUUCUGCUCCGAAGCUCUGAGCACCUCCAAGAUGUGCGCAUGAGGUUUUAUAGGGUGUGUUGGAGCCAAUCAGUCUUUGUACAGACUUUUCCAGCUGUUGUCAUGACAACCGUCAACUGUCACGGUGCUGGUGGGUGUAUCAUUUAGCAUGCCAAUACAUUACAAUGAGUGUAUGAGGCUAAGGUCCACUGGAAGUCAAAUCCUCCACCAUGGCGGACUUUCAAUUCUGACCAGUUCUUGUUUCUUCUCUUUGCAGCCACUUAGAGCUUGACAAUUUUUGGAAAGAUGAAUGAUGUGAACUGACCGCUAUAGGAGAAAGUAAUGAAGCAUCUGAAUGCGGACCCAUAGGUUACUAAGCCCAAGUUGUUUGGGGGCCAACCUGCUGAUGAAAAAUUAAUCAGCUGAUCUAAGAAAGAAAUGGCAACUUUUAUUCAAGCCAAAUUUGAGGAUUAUAACCUGGGAAGAGCCCCUCAGAAAGCUCUGAGAACUGUUCCACCGGCUAGAAGUCAAGGCACAGUUAUAUAAGUGUUUUUUGAGACAGAGGGCUGUACAUCAAAUAAUGUAUUAUUGACAGUUUGCAUAAUCCAGAUCUAAGUGUCAUCAUCAUUGUGGUGGGUCAUGAGAUUCUAUACAAGAUCAAGAAUGAAUGUUAUCUUUUACUGAGUUGUCUAGUUGAUGCAACAGGAGAACGUUACUCUUUAUGGUUGAGCAGGUAUUCCUGCCGAUGGGGGAGUUUGGUUAAUGCCUAAUGCAGAUACAAGAUGCACAGUGCGGGGGGAGAAAAAGAUUGAAACCCAGUUCCCUGUAACAGGAACUCAUUAAUUGAUGCAUACAUCAUUGACCUUCCUCCCUUCCUGUAUCACUUUUCCAUUCUCUCACAAUAUCCGAAUCCUCAUGUCAGCUUUGGCUUUUGAGGGAACCCCAAAUAAAACACCCGCUGCCUUGGGCUUUGAAACAACUGCCAAGAAUGAGAAUACGAGACCCUGAAGACCAGAACAGAUCAUGGGGCCUGCAUAGCUAGUCUAACCCUUCCCGUCCCCGAGAUGAUGCUCACGUCUUUUCUACAGCAUCCUUGUCAGUGCUAAGCACUUCUGGUUCUCUUGUCGGGGAAAGGAGGUGAAUGGGUUAUCUUGCCCUAGUGAUCUAGAGAGAACUGCGUAUCCCCCCAAAGAUUCAGUCACUACACAACCACCCCACUCAUUCUGGGCAUGCAGCCCACUCAUUCUGGGCAUGCUGAUGGCUUGUGUAAACUUUUGUGCAUUUUUGUAUCACUCAGGGUCCUGGAAGAAAAACAGAAGGCAGUCUUAGAGGUUUACCUAAAGGAAGAUUAAUGAAGGAACUAGUGACAGAAAUGUGGGCAGGUCAUGGGAACCAAAACAGAUGUUGACACACUGGGGACCAAUAACACGGAGGCUAUUACUUCCCCUGAGACUUAAGGGGCAAGGAGCAGGAACCAUGUCACUGCAGCAGGAAAAGCUGCAGCCAAGGAUGUGGGCUGCCUCACAGGUACUGAGACCUUAGAUAGAGGAACUGAGCCUACUAUCAAAACCAUGAUCAGAACAGGGGAAUUCUGUCUCCUCCUGACCCCUAGUUUCAUUGGCUGAACAUCACCAGAAGGGUAAGUCCGAGAACUGGAGAUGAGGCAGCCCAUGUGGGCUAGCCUUUCAGGGUCCAGAGCAAGGCAGAGAAGGGCUGUGUUGGUUAUCUUUCGCCUGCCUCUCCAGCUCUCCCCUCCAUCCUUUUCCAGUCUCUUGUGUCCCUGGGGACUGAGCUUUAUAUGGGGUUCAUCACUAGGCACCCUUGCCCUCCUACUCCAGCUGGCUGCAGGAAACAGGACACCCUAUUAGGAGACUGCAGGAGAGAAAUGGCAAAUUGUUUAUUCUCUCAAUUCCCCACCCACCGUGAUGUUGCCAAGGGCUGGUGGGCCCCUUGAGCAAAGGUCACUGCUCCUGUCAAAGUGGGCUUCCCCACAUGGCUUUCUCCUGAGGUCCAGGCAAGCAUGAUUUUCACUUGCCUCUUCAGGCUUAGAUGAUUACGGUUUGCUUCUGCUCUUAACAACUUUGACAUAUUGUUCUAUCACUUGUGGUUUCUUUAUUCCCUGCCCACAUUUUGCAACACUCCUCCCCACUCCCGUAUUAAGUGUCCAUCAGGUGAUCGCACCGGAAUGUUCUAGCUCAGUCCUACCAGUUACCUGACUGCUCUGAGAGCAGAACAUGGAUCUGGAUGGGCAAGUGGAGAAGCACGGUGUCCCAGCUCAACGUCAGGCAGAGAGCAAAUCCAACUCCACUCUGCCUUUUGGUUUCACUCCAGCCCUGGACGAGUCCCACUCACACCGGGGAGGGCCACCUGCUUUACUCGGCUCACCAGUUCACAUGCGAGCCUCUUCUGGAAGCGUCCUCAUGGACACAUCCAGCAAUAAUGUUUAACAGCCAUCUGGGCAGCCUGUGGCCCACUCGAGUUGACACAUACAAUUACCCAUCACAGAUGGCAAUACUAUGAAUUCUUUUUUUUUUUUAAACAACCUUUGUUACUCUUUUUUUUUUUAAGUAAAUGAAAUUAAAUGAGCUCCCUGUAUUUCACGUGUUUAUUCCAAUUUAAUAAUAAUUGAUUUUACGUUAAAGCUGUCUCAGAUCUUUUCUAUAACAUACUUGCAUGAGAUAGUUACAAAUGUAGACGACGGUGGGAUGGUUGGGACUACGGCUGGGACAGCCUCAUUCUCGCCUGUCUCCUCUAUGUGCAGUGUGGGUGCCAAGGGAAUCUCUGACACAUGGCUAUUCAUAGAGAGAUGAGUUGCUUGCUUGCUUGCUAUGAGUUAUUCCCCUUGUGUAAAACCCCAUGUCAAGAUACGGUCCCUUUUCUAUAGAUUAUCUCUUCAAUCUAUUUGAGUAUGUGAAGGCUCAUACUGGCCACAAUAAAGAGCCACUCAACUCUGAGCUGUUCUCUUAGGCCUUGGUGGCCCCUUUCAUAAUUUGGCCUCAUCUUCAUACUGACCCUCAACUGGCAGCGUUUUGCUGAAGGCUUUGCUCUGCGUGGCUCUCCAUGCUGCAAUUCCCAGGAAGCCUGAAGCUUCCUGCCUCAUCUCUCUCCAGUGGCCCAGUAUUGGGGCCUGCAGGCACUGGUGGGAUCUUUCUUUUCUCCCUCUUGCAAACUCUGAACUCCAGGGGUGGUCCAUGGCCCCUCUACCUGGUCACACAGCCAUGCCUUCUCUUAACACUGCCAGCUCUUGCUCUGGCUGUUCUGGAACAGGUUGGAAUGUCCCACCCAAGGCUCGAAGCCCGUCAGUGGGGGAUGGGGGCUCUCCUGUAGACACCCACAAGCUUUAUGGCUGCAUUUCCUCUCCCUCACCUCCAGAGAGCAGACACACUCAAGUGCCGCACGCUCGCUGUGGGAUGCUGAGUGAGAGGGGACUCUCCCCUCAUAAACCCAUAACCCUCCAGGGGCCGCGGGGGAUGCAGUGCCCGGUAUUGUGGGAAAGCACCUGUGUUUGUUUCCAGGGCUGCUGUCACAAAGCAUCACAAACUGGGUGACUUAGGACAACAGAAAUGUAUUGUCUUAUUGUUUUGAAAGCCACAAGUCCACAGGCAAGGUUGUGACAGGGUCCUCUCCCUCUGGAACCUGUAGAAGGACCCUUCCUCACCUCUUCCCAGUUCCUGGGGGUUUCCUGCAGUCCUUGGUGUUCCGGAGCUUGCAGUUGCAUCACUGCAAUCCUCUGUCUUCACAAGAUGUUCCCCCCGAUGUCUUCACAUCGUCCCUGUGUGUCUGCCUCAGUGUCCAAAUCUCCCUUUCUUAUAAGGACACCAGUCAUAUUGGAAAAGGCCCCACCCUGAUGACCUCAUUUUAACUUGAUUACUUGGUUACCCCAUUUCCAAGUAAGCUCACAGUGUGAGGCACCGGGGACUAGGCCUCUAAUGUAGCCUUUUUUAGUGUGUGUGGGGGGAACACAAUUCAACCCAUGACAGCACCUCUCCGCAAGAUCUCAAUUGAUUUUUGGGGGGUUAGAAUGUUGAGUACAUCUUCAGACGUGGACUCUGUCACCAAUUCUUGAAAAAUAGAAAAAAUUCCAUGUAGCCUCCUGUAUCAUCAUGCUGCAGAUACAGUGAUAAGAGCUAAUAAAUGAUAAAUAAUACUUUACUGAGGGAUUACUGUAAACUAGGAGCUGUUGUAAAGCCUUGUAAUGAUGUUUUGUCAUUUGAUCUUUGCAUCUACUGGGCUUGGGACUAUUGUUUCUGUUUUGUAGGUGAGAAAAUAAAAGCCUGGAGCCAUCAGGAGUCUUGCUCUUACUACACCGGCAUUACACCUGCUCCCAAGGUUAGACUAUUUCCUUCGUUCACAUGAAGGAGUCCCUUCACUCAGGCCAACCUCUUCCAACUUGAGUGCGAGUGGACAUUCACUAUUACAUUCCUACACUGCCCCAGCUGGCUGUGUUUAUCCGUUGUUAACUCAGACUGGCUCUUAAGAAAGGAAGAGUCAACUUGUGGUCAAAUUGCAUCCUUUAUUGAAGAAGUAGGAAAAAAGAGUAGUGGAAAAGACUUCAUUCGAAUGCAUUUUCCAUGAGGCCUCUUGAAAAAAAAUUACGGAGUUCGUCACUAAUUCACAAUUAAUCUUGUCUUCACUGGAGUCACACUGGGUCUUUGCAAAUUAUGAAGAGAUAGUAGAUUCCGACAGUGAGUAACCUGGGGUGAGUUAAGUGAUAGCAAAUUACUCGUUAUUAUUCUCUGAAAUAAAAGCCUUGUCCUUAGCCACUGAGUCAAAACAAGGCAAAACAGUAGAAACCAGAAACAAACAUGUAAACCUAGAGUGCGACCAGUUGAAACCAUAAUGAGGAGGUUGUAUCUACUCUGUCUUGGAGUGGAGUCAAAUGCACAUCAGACCCAGGGUCCAUCAGGAACCCGAGGUUUCAAUGAACCACAACAACCUUAUUAAGCUAAACUACUACUCUUUGCAGAAUCACUUCAAUCUCCAGCUGGACUCUGGUGGGUCCUAAGUUUCCUCCUGGGUCCUCUGCUUCCCGUUCUGGGUCAGAAGGAGAAACAUCUGAACAACCAAUGGAGCAGAGAGCUAUCUGGCUCAGAUGACACGAUUUUGGGGUGUCACUGCAGAAGACAUUCUAAUGAGGACAGUGUCAUUAUUUUCCUGAGUAAAACGCUUGCAUUUUUGCUUUUUGUGUUUUAAGUUUUAAGAAUAUUGUGUUGUCUUAGCACAGACACAAAAAGCCUGAAAAUUCACAAACGCUUUGAACAGGUUUAUAAUCAAGUGAAAAACCGAUCCAUAUUCAAAGCUAAGCACAACAAUUGUUGAGCAGUUAGAAAUAAAGGAGAAGCAGUUUAUGAAACUAAUUUUAGUUAAAUCUGAGGCAUUAGUUAUCCAGGAACAUCGAGUGUGAAUACUAAUAUACAAAACAUUAAUAAACUUCCUAAGUAUCUUUCAAGUUUAUCAUCUUCUCUUUAUCCCCUAUUGUUGAAAUUUAGGGACUUGCAUUUGGCUAACAUGUUUCCUGUUGGAGCAACCCCUUAAUUAUCCCUGUCUCCUGCCUUGUCCUUCUCUAAUCCGAUCUCUGUUCUUCUGAUGAAUGACUCCUUCAAAAUCACUCUACUGCACAUUUAUCUGAAUUCUUCACGGCAAUCCCAGCCCCUCUGCCACUACUCAGUUCAGAGAUGGGCUGGCCGAAGGCAACUGGGCCAGUGUGAAGUAGAGAGGAUUCCUUUUGGCUUCUGAGAAAGAGAAGCCAGUUUCUCCUGCUGCAUCUGACCCAGGAAGUAGGCUGCCCUCACCAUCCUAUGGCCUUAGGAUAAAGAUGAAGAUUGCAGAGGAAGACGGAAAGAAUCUGGGUCACUGAUAACAUCACUGAGCUAUUGCACCAAUUGAUCCUGAAGUCCCCCACUUGUGGACUUGCUGUUGUAAGAGAGGACAUAUUUCCUGAUUGAUUCAGCAGUUUGGUGGGGGGAUCUGUAAUUUGCUGCAGGAAAUAAAAUAACCAUAAAGUUUGAUAAGGAAACUCUUCUGUGUGAAGCCCUUCAAUAGCAUGCUGGUACUUACAGACUAAAUCCCAAACUCUUCAGUAAGGUGGUGUAGCCCUGUUCAGAACUGGUGUCAGUUUCCAUUACUCUCCUCCACGCACAAUGGCACAAACAUGCCAUUCUUCUGGAUCCAGACAGAGUUGUAGACUGUUUUGUUAAUAUGCAAUUCUUUUGGAGGGAUUAAUUGUCUAUUUUUAUUUGGAAAGAAUUCAGAGAUGAGGAGAUGAGCUUAUCAGCCAUUA